rnacentral:rRNA from 1 species
UACGGGGGGGGGCAAGCGUUGUUCGGAAUUACUGGGCGUAAAGGGCCAGUAGGCGGCCAACUAAGUCCGACGUGAAAUCCCGGGGCUCAACCUCGGAACUGCCUUUGAUACUGCGAGUCUUGAGUCCGAUAGAGGUGGGUGGAAUUCCUAGUGUAGAGGUGAAAUUCGUAGAUAUUAGGAAGAACACCAGUGGCGAAGGCGGCCCACUGGAUCGGUACUGACGCUGAGGUGCGAAAGCGUGGGGAGCAAACAGG